AGAGACCCACAAAUCUCAUGUUCCUGCCGUACUGGCUGGGUAAGAGGGAAAAUGUUCUGCAUUUCCCUCUGAAUGGGUGCUUUGGGGGUAAUGCCCUUGUACGUGCCCCUUAACAAUCAUGUCACCAAGACCUGAUAUGU
rnacentral:misc_RNA from 1 species